UGGAUUAAAAUGUAACACUCACACGGAUGAUAUGACGCUUCUAAUCAAUCAAAUUGUUCUUUUGAAAUUCACCCAUCUCAUCAUAAUUUUUUAAAACAAUAUCUUUAUUUUAUUCGUUUUAAAAGUAAAGAUGUAAUUGACAGUAUAUAAAUAAGAUAAUGUGGUGUCAUUGCCACUUCCGCUCUACGCUCUACUUGAGAAAAAAAAAAAAAAAUAGAAUCGAAAUUGUAGUGGUCACACGAAUGCGUGGCGUCUCAAAUCAAUUAUAUUUUCUAUCUGAAUUCACUCAUCUCAUAAUAAAUUUUUAAAAAUAUUUUUAAAAAAUAAAUAUAAUUAGUUGAAUAUAAAUAGAAAAAAUUUUAAAUUCCAUUCUUAUGAUUUCGCACUAUCUCACAUUAGUACCUUAUGGUUUAAAGUGUAUUACAUUAGUACCCUAUGAUUUCGUUUUCGCUUUUUCUUAUUUUCUUCGUUAAUUUUUUCCUUAAAUUA
rnacentral:lncRNA from 1 species